AUCCUCCAGCGGGGAGGGCAAAAUUCAGUAAAUGGGUAUUAGGGAGAGAGGCAAGAGAACCUAACAUCUCCUUCGCAUGGUGUAGGCAUCUGGUCUUUCAGGAGAGAAUCGCUCUCAGUCUUGCUGGAGUCCUGCUCAGAAGAACUCAAGGGUCUUUCUGAGAUGUCCUGUGGGCCAGUUUUGUAAAGUUGGAGAUACCUAGAAGUGAAGAAAAUACAGAAAUUACCAUGGUCAUUCUUGGAAGGAUGAUUCACUUUUGAGACAAAAAUGUGACUCCUUUUCCCAAAAUGGAAGGAGAGGUCUGCCACCAGAGACAAUCAGUGCUCCUUGAUAGGGGAAAUGAGCUUGGCAAGUCUUGUUCUUCUCUGUUAUGGUGAUCUGGAUUGUCUCAAAGAGUUCAGGGAAGGAAGGAAAAUGAGCACUUUUAUUUCUGAGUAUUUACGUAGGAGAAACAAACAGGACUCCUGUGAGGAAUUGCAGAGGAGAGAAGACUGCAUCCCUGGGAAGCCAGAUGACGUGAGCAGCUGCUUUGGACACUGCGCCCUUGGAAGGGUUUGGUCUCGGGCUCCAGAUGGAGCUGAACAAGCAGAACUUAGCAAUCUCUGGGCCUGAAAACCUAAAGACAUCACAUUACAGUCACAGGCUUGGGACUGAGGGAGUAGAAGCCCUGUCCUUUGAGGAAGCACAUGAGUGACCCAAUGACGUUUUCAUAACUUUGUAGCGGGCAUCUGCAGAUGUCUUUUAUAAAGGCCCAGAUAAAUCUGGGGGCUUUGUGGGCCACAUGGUCUGUGUUGCAAUUCUUCAACUCUGCCCUUGUAGCAUACAAGGAGCUAUAGGUGAUAUGUAAUAGAACAGGUGGGUGGCUGUGUUCCAAAAACCUUUAUAAAAAUAGAACAGAUUUGCCUGUGAGCCCACAGUUUGAGGAUGCUUGGCUUAUGAAAGUACCAGAAGUAGAACUCUAAGUCAAAAGUAUGCAUGCUUUUCUAUGUUUUUCCAGGUGUUAUCAAGUCACCCUCUAGCAGGGCUAUACCAAAUCCUUACCACUCACGCACAAAAGUCAUUGUUUCCCUCCAUGAUCCUCAGUUCUCAGUAUUUUUAUUUUUUAAAAGAACCAAGAAGGAAAAGUUAAUUUUCUUUUCUCAUCAAAAAUCACAAAACAAGGUACUGAAAAAUUUAUGACUAGAGCCUAGAUGUUGUGACUUUAAACUAUAUUGACUGUGGAGAAUUUCUGCAACAUGAUAAUGGGCUAUGUGGGGCUCGGCGGUGGGCGGGGGGUGCUCCAGCAGCAGAAAAAAAAGGACAGGCUAUGGGGUUCACGUGAACUGCAGUUGAAAAUAACCUUUGUUCAAUGCAAACUGGUGUAGCUACUGUGGAAAACAGUAUGGAAGGUCUUCAGAAAGU